rnacentral:rRNA from 1 species
AUGAAAGUGUUCAGGGGCCUGCUUCUGGCGAAUGUCUUCUUUGCAUUGCCUUUGAUUGUGAUAUUUUUCCCAAGAUAUAACGAGGAGUCAAAGAAUGUUCUUCUCAGUUUGUUUGACAGAAAGGAAGUCAGUAACGAGAAAAUGAUCGUGUUAGCACUCUUUGUAAUUCACGCAAGUCUUGGUUCACUGGGUGUUCUCCUAGCUCACAUAGCAGAUGGUCCAGUGUGCACUGGGAUAGUAGGCUCACUUACUCCGUGGAUUAUCAUUUCUGUUGUGGGAUUCAUUGACUACAUAUUCUUGAAGACUCUUCCAGAUGAGGGCACUUACAAGAUUGUCUUUCUGGCGCAUUUCAUUGUGGUGCUACUAGUGAUAUGUAGUCUUUGGGCUAAAUUUGUUGGGUUUUCACAGUGCUGCAGCUCCAAGCAGGAUCAGAGUCUGCCUCUUUGA